UAAGAGGGAGCCGGGCCCUAGCUCUGGGCCCGAGGAAGCAGAGCAUCGACACCAUGGCCUUGAGUCUUCUCUUCAUCCUGCUCGCUCUCUGCACAGGGAGCAGUGCCCAGGCUGUGGUGACUCAGGAGCCUUCUCUGACCGUGAUCCCAGGAGGGACAGUCACUCUGACCUGCAGCUCCAGCACAGGGGCGGUCACCUCUGGGAACUAUCCUUGCUGGAUCCAGCAGAAAUCUGGCCAGUCCCCCAGGGGGCUCAUUUACGGCACCAGCAGUCUUGUACCAGGUGUCCCUGCUCGGUUCUCAGGGUCCCUCCUUGGGGACAAAGCUGCCCUCACCAUCAAGGGGGCCCAGCCUGAGGAUGAGGCUCACUAUUACUGUGUCUUAUAUUAUAGUGGUCGAUGGCACAGUGAGAGAGACAGAUGUAGAACUGAGACAAAAACCUCUUCUUGCCCUGCUUGCAUGCAUCCAUAUGCUUUGACCACCUCUCUGAAAAAUCUCAAGUCAUAAGAAUCUGAGGCUAAGAUGGCCCCAUGUCUGGCCACAUCUGAUUAUUGUGGGUGUUUCCAGGUUCACAGUGUGAAGACAUGUUAUACACCAGGAGCACAUGCAGUGGGAGCCAAGUAGGAGAAGGAAGUGAUUGUAAAUCUUGUCACUCGAGAUACCAUUAAAUGGAGAGAAACUUGGGGGGGUUGAGUUGUAACUCAAGGCAAAGAGUAGGGUAACAGAAGAUUGGCCAAUGGGAGCUCCCAGGUCUCCCCUUCA